ACCCGCUGGAUUUAAGCAUAUCAGUAAGCGGAGGAAAAGAAACUAACAAGGAUUACCUUAGUAACUGCGAGUGAACAGGUAAAAGCUCAAGUUGUAAAUCUAUGGUUUACGAUCAUAGAAUUGUAAUCUAAAGAAUUUCACAAAAGGUUAAGUCUUCUCAUAACGCCCUGAAAAGGGUGGUCAUAGAGGGUGAUAACCCCGUAGUUGGAGAAAGACUUGGCCGAAUGUGGGGAUUCGAUGAGUCGGGUUGUUUGGGAUUGCAGCCCUAAGUGGGAGAUAAACUUCUUCUAAAGCUAAAUAUUGAUGGGAGACCGAUAGCAAACAAGUACUGCGAAGGAAAGAUGAAAAGAACUUUGAAAAGAGGGUUAAAAGACGUGAAAUCGUUGAGAAGGAAGCUGUAGAAGAAAAUUAUUUGGAUGUGACGUUUGGAGCGAGAGGAAGAGCAUACGGUUUGUGGAGUACUUCAUUGGCUUGCAGAUCGAUAUGUAAUUCACUCUACUUCUUUUUCAUAUUCAAAAGACAAAAUGAAGUCACAGUUAUAAGAAAAACGCUAGGAAAAGCAAUCGGGCAACCGACCUUCUUAGUGAAAUAUAUAGCGUGGCUUGAGGGUCCUUCGGGAGAUUUUGUCAAAAUGGCUUCUACCGAUCCGUCUUGAAACACGGACCAAGGAGUGUAACACAUAUGCGAGUUUGCGGGUGCAAAAACCCAUAGGCGAAACGAAAGUGAGUAUAAGGUGUGAUGCUUUCUAUACUGGGAGCUGCAACAUCGACCAACCUUGAUCUUCUGUGAAGGGUUUGAGUAAUAGCAUAUCUGUUACGACCCGAAAGAUGGUGAACUAUACUUGAGCAGCCUGAAGCCUGAGGAAACUCAGGUGGAAGGGCGCAGCGGUACUGACGUGCAAAUCGUUCGUCAGACUUGAGUAUAGGGGCGAAAGACUAAUCGAACCAUCUAGUAGCUGGUUCCCUCUGAAAUUUCUCUCAGGAUAGCUGGAACAAAUCUAGCAGUUUUAUCAGGUAAAGCGAAUGAUUAGAGGACUCGGAGCUCCCAGAGCUUUGACCUAUUCUCAAACUUUAAAUUGGUAAGAACUAUUAGUUCUCUUAAUUGAACUAGUAGGUGGAAUGCUUGUUCCAAGUGGGCUUAUCGUGGUAAGCAUGUUAAGCAAUGAGGGAUGAACCUAACGCUGAGAUAAGGCGCCAAAAUUCCCGCUCAUCAGAUACCAUAAAAGGUGUUGAUUCAUAUAGACAGCAGGACGGUGGCCAUGGAAGUCGGAAUCCGCUAAGGAGUGUGUAACAACUCACCUGCCGAAUGAAUUAGCCCUGAAAAUGGAUGGCGCUGAAGCGGGAUGCCGAUACUCAGCCAUCAAAGCAAAUGCGAAGCUUUGAUGAGUAAGAGGGCGUGAACACGGUGCAGAAGCCUUUGGCGUGAGCCUGGGUUGAACUGUGUUUAGUGCAGAUCUUGGUGUUAGUAGCAAAUAUUCAAAUGAGAACUUUGAAGACCGAAGUGGAGAAGGGUUCCAUGAGAACAGCAAUUGGUCAUGGGUUAUCCGAUCCUAAGGCAUAGGGAAAUUCCUUGUAAUACAAGAGCAAUUUGCUCGUUGCCGAAAGGGAAUGAGGUUAAUAUUCCUCAGACUGGACGUGGAUAAUGUAUGGUAACAUAAGUGAGCCCGGAGACAUCGGUAUGAACUCCUGGAAGAGUUAUCUUUUCUUUUUAACAAUCUAUCGCCCUGAAAUGGGAUUAUCCCGAGCUAGGGCUUUAUGGUUGGCAGAGCAUUGCACUCUAUGCAAUGUCAGGUGCGUUCUUAACGAUCCUUGAAAAUCCGGGUAAGAGAUUUAUUCGCACGCCAGGUCGUACCAAUAACCGCAUCAGGUCUCCAAGGUU
rnacentral:rRNA from 1 species